AUUUAUCUACACUCCCGGAUUUUGUUUUAAAUAAACGUUUUUAGCUGUCUUUAAUUAUUCGUUCUUGUUUUUGUAAAACACGUCGCCAUUACUAAAUAUAAUUAGUUAUUUGAAGUAAUCAGACGAAAUAUUGCAUGCAGUGAUAAUGUUUAGUAGAGAUUGCUUAAUGUGUUAAGUUUCUCUAAGGGGGAGGAGCCCCAUUCGAACAGGUCUGCGUGAGCGCGCGAUGUUUGAAGAGACCUGAGACCGGUUGAUGAUGCACGCGAUGGAUUUGGAAAACAUCAUGAAACGGUGAGUGUGUAAAUUAGCUUCUUUCUCUUGAUCUUUCUGGGAAAAUUGAUCAUCCAAAAGACCGGUCCGAUGACAGCGUUACUGUAGUUAAAGCUAAAGUAGUCUUAUAGGCCUAACUUGCUGAUCGACGGUUUUUCCCCUGUCGGUUCACCGAAGCUAUAACGUAAUGUUAAUAUUAAAAUCCGUGUUUCUUUUGGUUCACGGUUAAGAGAAGUUCAGCAAGUGUGUUUCUGCAUGUUCAGUUUAGCUGUGAUGUUAGUAUUUCAUUACCCUUAGCUUCAGUUGUUUAAAUCAGCACGUGUGCAUGAAUUAGCUUUUUGUUAACGCUAGUUUGUCUCUUAGAUAUAUAUUCGUAAAUAAUAACUGCAACUGAGUUGUUAAGCUUAAAGUGAUGUGUAUAUGCUAAACAUUUAUGCUAAAAGUUACAGUUAGUCUUGAAAUGUAACACUUUUUUUUCUCUGUUUUAGGUGUUCAUGGAGUUGUACAGGAUUGUGGGCAAGAAUCUCAAGCAAUCAUCUAACUGAGAUAUUUCAGUCUAAAGAGGGAAUGCUGGGCAGCUGUUGACAGCUUUCACAACAAAUCAAGCAGACUAAAGAGCCAACUGAUACUAGGUUUCUGGUGCUCAGAGGGCUCCCUUUUGCCCUUUGUGACAACCCUACAGAUUUCUACAAAGUAUGCUUUGACUCUGAUGACGAUUACUCAUUCCACCACCUGGACAUUGGAAUCAUCCUCACUGAGUAUGAAGGUGAUGUGCUCUCAUCCUCUCUCCGUCUCAAUCCAGCCUCAUUGAAGAUCAUCAUUGAAGGAGAUUUUGUGAUGGACAGUAUUGAAGACUUGUCAAAAGCUAUGUGCAUUCUGUAUGGACUUACACACUGCAUCUCAACUAUCCUAAAUCUAUGAAGAACACCUUCCAGAUCAUCCAACAGGUACUUCUCAUGUUGGGCCACAGUGAACUAAAACCCAGGUUGCAAACUCUGAAAAAUUGUCCUACAAUGUUAGGAAAUGCAAGAAGCUUCAAUGAGAAGUCACUUGUGUUCUGCCGUACGAGACAUUAAAGUGUAUUCUGUCUCUGCAUAUCAGUGCUGUUAGUGCUCAGUUAAUGUGUGUUCACACAAUUCUUCAGCCAAGUUUAAAGUUACAGAGACUUGCCUCUGUUUCAAUUUAAGCCCAGUUGUUAAUGCACAUCCAGGCAUUCACAAGGGAUAUAGCAUAUAUUCUUGAAUACUGUGUUCAUGUUUCUUCUACAAAAUAGUUACAAUUGUUAACAAGCUGCUCCAAAGCUUAUUUUUCU